rnacentral:rRNA from 1 species
ACGCUGGCGGCGUGCCUAAUACAUGCAAGUCGAGCGAGCUGAAUUCAAAGAUCCCUUCGGGGUGAUUUGUUGGACGCUAGCGGCGGAUGGGUGAGUAACACGUGGGCAAUCUGCCCUAAAGACUGGGAUACCACUUGGAAACAGGUGCUAAUACCGGAUAACAACAUGAAUCGCAUGAUUCAAGUUUGAAAGGCGGCGUAAGCUGUCACUUUAGGAUGAGCCCGCGGCGCAUUAGCUAGUUGGUGGGGUAAAGGCCUACCAAGGCAAUGAUGCGUAGCCGAGUUGAGAGACUGAUCGGCCACAUUGGGACUGAGACACGGCCCAAACUCCUACGGGAGGCAGCAGUAGGGAAUCUUCCACAAUGGACGCAAGUCUGAUGGAGCAACGCCGCGUGAGUGAAGAAGGUUUUCGGAUCGUAAAGCUCUGUUGUUGGUGAAGAAGGGUAGAGGCAGUAACUGGUCUUUAUUUGACGGUAAUCAACCAGAAAGUCUCGGCUAACUACGUGCCAGCAGCCGCGGUAAUACGUAGGUGGCAAGCGUUGUCCGGAUUUAUUGGGCGUAAAGCGAGCGCAGGCGGAAUGAUAAGUCUGAUGUGAAAGCCCACGGCUCAACCGUGGAACUGCAUCGGAAACUGUCAUUCUUGAGUGCAGAAGAGGAGAGUGGAACUCCAUGUGUAGCGGUGGAAUGCGUAGAUAUAUGGAAGAACACCAGUGGCGAAGGCGGCUCUCUGGUCUGCAACUGACGCUGAGGCUCGAAAGCAUGGGUAGCGAACAGGAUUAGAUACCCUGGUAGUCCAUGCCGUAAACGAUGAGCGCUAGGUGUUGGGGACUUUCCGGUCCUCAGUGCCGCAGCAAACGCAUUAAGCGCUCCGCCUGGGGAGUACGACCGCAAGGUUGAAACUCAAAGGAAUU